rnacentral:rRNA from 1 species
GAUGAACGCUGGCGGCGUGCCUAAUACAUGCAAGUCGAGCGAACGGACGAGAAGCUUGCUUCUCUGAUGUUAGCGGCGGACGGGUGAGUAACACGUGGAUAACCUACCUAUAAGACUGGUAUAACUUCGGGAAACCGGAGCUAAUACCGGAUAAUAUUUUGAACCGCAUGGUUCAAAAGUGAAAGACGGUCUUUCUGUCACUUAUAGAUGGAUCCGCGCUGCAUUAGCUAGUUGGUAAGGUAACGGCUUACCAAGGCAACGAUGCAUAGCCGACAUGAGAGGGUGAUCGGCCACACUGGAACUGAGACACGGUCCAGACUCCUACGGGAGGCAGCAGUAGGGAAUCUUCCGCAAUGGGCGAAAGCCUGACGGAGCAACGCCGCGUGAGUGAUGAAGGUCUUCGGAUCGUAAAACUCUGUUAUUAGGGAAGAACAUAUGUGUAAGUAACUGUGCACAUCUUGACGGUACCUAAUCAGAAAGCCACGGCUAACUACGUG